AUAAAGAAUGAUGUCAUUGUCAUGUAGAUUCAGUUUUAUUGUGUGGUUUUAUGUUAUGGCUUAAUAGUGAAUGCUGUAUUCGCCUGUAAUUAAUUAACCCCAGGAUAAUAUAAUUCGUUGUGCAGCAUUUGUGGCUUAAAUUAGUCUGGCCAUUUUACAACCAAAACACCAUCUCUCGACAAUUAUGUCGAAAUAAAAAACAGCAAGGUCAACGGAUGAUGUAAGCGAUGCAUAACUUCGUU